UACGUAGGGGGCGAGCGUUGUCCGGAUUUAUUGGGCGUAAAGAGCUCGUAGGCGGCUGUUCGAGUCGGGUGUGAAAUCCUGAGGCUUAACCUUGGGUCUGCAUUCGAUACUGGGCGGCUUGAGUCUGGUAGGGGGAUCUGGAAUUCCUGGUGUAGCGGUGGAAUGCGCAGAUAUCAGGAGGAACGCCGGUGGCGAAGGCGGGUCUCUGGGCCGUAACUGACGCUGAGGAGCGAAAGCGUGGGGAGCGAACAGG
rnacentral:rRNA from 1 species